rnacentral:lncRNA from 1 species
GAGGUUUGAUGAACCACACAGCAUUGAAGCAAAUGAGGAUGAAGAUGCAGAAUGCAGCUCUAACAAGAAGCAAAGAAUCGACUGACUCGUUGCUGUUGAGUCUUUUGGCCACGAAAUCCUUAAUUUCUAUGAUUGGCAUGCUAUCAUCUAUUUUUGCAAGGGUACUUAUGCAUUCCUGGAAGGGUGAUUGAUGUAUUGAUGAAAAAUGUCCUUUUGUUCAUGGAUACCCCUUAAACUGCUUUUGGUCUACCCCCUUUUACGUUUGCUUAUAAGCUGCAAUCAACACCAGUUAUGUGUUUGAAUUGAUGCUUUACAGCUAUUAUGUUCCUGUCACAAUAUUCUUUAAAUUCAUCUUCUACUCUAUUUAACUCAUUAAAUGACCUUGUG